AGAGUUUGAUCAUGGCUCAGGAUGAACGCUAGCGGCAGGCUUAAUACAUGCAAGACGAACGGUAAGCUUUGUAGCAAUACAAAGCCUAGAGUGUCGUAAGGGUGCGUAACACGUAUGCAAUCUGCCCUGUACAGGAGUAUAGCUCCCCGAAAGGGGAAUUAACCCUCCAUAGGAUCGUAUGGUGGCAUCACCAAGCGAUUAAAACUGAGGUGGUACAGGAUGAGCAUGCGUCUGACUAGCUAGUUGGCGGGGUAACGGCCCACCAAGGCGAUGAUCAGUAGGGGAACUGAGAGGUUGAUCCCCCACACUGGCACUGAGAUACGGGCCAGACUCCUACGGGAGGCAGCAGUAGGGAAUAUUGGACAAUGGGUGAGAGCCUGAUCCAGCCAUGCCGCGUGCAGGAUGACGGCCUUCUGGGUUGUAAACUGCUUUUAUCUGGGGAUAAAAAGGCCUUGCGAGGCAAACUGAAGGUACCAGAUGAAUAAGCCACGGCUAACUACGUGCCAGCAGCCGCGGUAAUACGUAGGUGGCAAGCGUUGUCCGGAUUUAUUGGGUUUAAAGGGUGCGUAGGCGGUUUAUUAAGUCAGUGGUGAAAGACGAUAGCUUAACUAUCGAGGUGCCAUUGAUACUGAUGAACUUGAGUGCAGUCGAAGUAGGCGGAAUGGACGGUGUAGCGGUGAAAUGCAUAGAUAUCGUCCAGAACACCGAUAGUGAAGACAGCUUACUAGGCUGUAACCGACGCUGAGGCACGAAAGUGUGGGGAUCAAACAGGAUUAGAUACCCUGGUAGUCC
rnacentral:rRNA from 1 species